GACGAACGCUGGCGGCGUGCUUAACACAUGCAAGUCGAACGGAAAGGCCCUGCUUUUGUGGGGUGCUCGAGUGGCGAACGGGUGAGUAACACGUGAGUAACCUGCCCUUGACUUUGGGAUAACUUCAGGAAACUGGGGCUAAUACCGGAUAGGAGCUCCUGCUGCAUGGUGGGGGUUGGAAAGUUUCGGCGGUUGGGGUUGGACUCGCGGCUUAUCAGCUUGUUGGUGGGGUAGUGGCUUUCCAAGGCUUUGACGGGUAGCCGGCCUGAGAGGGUGACCGGCCACAUUGGGACUGCGAUACGGCCCAGACUCCUACGGGAGGCAGCAGUGGGGAAUAUUGCACAGUGGGCGGAAGCCUGAUGCAGCAACGCCGCGUGCGGGAUGACGGCCUUCGGGUUGUAAACCGCUUUCGCCUGUGACGAAGCGUGAGUGACGGUAAUGGGUAAAGAAGCACCGGCUAACUACGUG
rnacentral:rRNA from 1 species